AAAAUGGUUUCGGACGUUUACUGUCAUGUUGUGCUGUUGUAACGGUAAAGAAACACAUUAAAUGGCCGGCCUACUUUCAAUGGAAAUGUUUUUAGAAUUCAAUGGUUAUUGUUGAAAAAUAAACGGAAGAAAACACAAUGCACAGGGCAUUCUCGUGUAGGGGCAAGGAAAUGCGUUAAAGCAUGAAAACCAGAAUGAUCUCCAGAGCUGGAGGUCUGAUAUUUGGCAUUGUUUUGGGACCCUUGGAAACUGGGCCGAAAAAGACUCUCGUAUGUAUAAGGAAAGUGAAAAAAAGUUCGUCUAAUAACAGCCAUAUGACGGUUAGCGAAGACGAGAUCUCGCACUCUUGAUUGGCAAACCGAACAGGGUUAGGAUUUCCCCGUCUCAACCCACGGACUUUACAGAGCGGAAAUGGUGCAUUAAAUACUUAACCAACAUUUCCUCCUGCACUGGCGGUUGGGGUUUUCUCAACACCAACGUCGCUUAGACGUAGCCUAGUCUGCAAUAACAGCCUAUUGAUGGAAAAACAAUGUUAUUCGAUCAACUUUAUCCAUUAAACAUGAUUGCAACAGCAUGUGCUGCUGGUGGUGUGACGUGGGUCUAGUAUCAUGGGCUGCGUGUUGUGCAAUUAUGGCUAUCUUUGCACUUUGAGCAAAAUGGAUAGCAGUGGGACUUUCCCAUGACUAUGUGUGUAGUGUGGAACAAACGCCCAUGCAAAUGAGAGCGCUAAUCGAUCGGUUUAUAUAGGGAUGCGCCGAGCGAGUAGGCGGCAGAAGAGCUUUCUGCAUGUGUCUUAUCAUUCGCUGCAGGUGCAUGAGAGACAUGAUUCAGCAUCCUCAAUCUGGUACUGGUACCGAAAUGACUCACCAACAACAGAUGGUGUGGACCUGUCGAGAAAAGAUGGGAAAACUAAAGGUUGGUUAAAAGAGAAUUGCUGGAAUCACGAUGAGGAACGAGGAAACCCUAGACAAAAAUCCUGCUACACGAGAGACGAAGUAGUUGUGUGGCACAUUUUACCAUCUAAAUAACACUAACCUUAUUACAUCUGAGAAAUGAUCUACUUUUGUCAGGUGAUUUUUAUUGACAUUGUACCAUUAAGUUACGUUUAGCUUUUUUGCUUAUGGUCAAUAAAAUCACCUGCUUGAUGCAUUCACAGUAGAUUUGAAUGGAGCUCUUGGCUUUGAGAACUGAAUUCCAAGGGUGUCUGUUGUAUAUUCAGCCCACGGAGUUCAGUUCUUAAGUUUGGAUGCUCACUGUAUCUGCUCUGACCUACGACCUGAAUCAAAACACCUGCUACUGGACUGGAAGGUACUGAUGCAGUUUAUUAUGCAUAUUUUUUUUAACCCAGUCCUCUUCUUUUAGAUUAGAGAUGACCGCUGUUUUUAGUCAUAAUGUACUAGUUACUAGUCUGAAUUAUUAAUCAACUUUGUAUUAAGUAUGUAUAAGUGGAUUAUAUCAGGUUGUGGAUAAUCAAGUCUUGAAUUUGAUAGAAAACUAUUGCUGUGGUGUUGUAAUAUCAUUUAUUGAUGAAAUUCAAAUGCCCACACUUGUAAGUGAAAAACUUGUUUGGUGAAAAUACACCGUUGUAUAUUUUUAUAUUUUGUUGAUGUCAAGUCAGAACGAUAGCAUUAAAUUGUGUUUUUCUUAUGAUAAAAAUCUAAAUGAUUUAAUUUAAAAAAAUUGCAGCACAAAUUACAGUUAUAUUAAAUAUUAGUUUUCUACUGUAAUAUUGCUUAACUUUUGUUGUGAAAUGUUGUGGAAAUUAAAAAAAAAGUAUAUCAGUAUGAUAUACAUUAUGCAUUUUUAUUCUAAUUUUAUUUCUUGUUUUUAUGUUAUUCAGUAUAAGUGAAAAUUUCAAUAAGGUCAUUGUUCUUUCAAACAUCGUUAUUAACUUUCAGUGCUUCGUUAAAACUGGUUCACUAAAACACUUUGAAGUUUGUUUGUUUUUUGCAGUCAGUGGCAAAAUUCAGAUUUUCAUCUCAUUUUCCUACAUUUUAUUACCAAGUUGUUUUAAGAGCUGAUGACCAAGAUAACCAAAAUAACAUAUACUUUUUUUUUAAAUACUCUUAACUGAUGGCAAAGUUGUUAAAUCACACUUAGUUCUCGGCAUCCUUAAAAUAAAACCUCCAAAUGUCCUAUAUCAUCAAGGACUAAAAAUAAUAUAUUUAUGAUUAAAUAUUAAAAAAAUAAGGGAUUUUUAAUCAAAAUAGUAAUUUUAAAAAUGAAUAAACUACAAAAAAAAAAAAAACUUCAGUGUCUUUUGUUGUUUACAGCGUUCUUGUAAAUGAUGUCAAUAUUCUUAGUAAUCCCUUUUCUAUUGUAAAUGCAUGCUGUGAAUGAUUCAUUCAAGUUUCUUUCUUUUUUUUUCUUUUUUUUUUCUUUUUGACCUUGUAACUUUUAUUCAAAAUCAUAUAUUUCUCUCUGCUGAAUCAACUACAAGCUCGCAUUCAGACCUGCCUCCAUCAAGGUAAAGGGUAGUUCACCCAAAAAAAAAUAUAUUUUUUUUAUCAUUUACUCACCCUCAAGUUGACCCAAACUUGUAUGAGUUUCUUU
ensembl:lncRNA